AUUGAACGCUGGCGGCAUGCUUUACACAUGCAAGUCGAACGGUAACAGGCCGCAAGGUGCUGACGAGUGGCGAACGGGUGAGUAAUGCAUCGGAACGUGCCCAGUCGUGGGGGAUAACGCAGCGAAAGCCGUGCUAAUACCGCAUACGAUCUAUGGAUGAAAGCGGGGGACCGUAAGGCCUCGCGCGAUUGGAGCGGCCGAUGUCAGAUUAGCUAGUUGGUGGGGUAAAGGCCCACCAAGGCGACGAUCUGUAGCUGGUCUGAGAGGACGACCAGCCACACUGGGACUGAGACACGGCCCAGACUCCUACGGGAGGCAGCAGUGGGGAAUUUUGGACAAUGGGCGCAAGCCUGAUCCAGCAAUGCCGCGUGCAGGAAGAAGGCCUUCGGGUUGUAAACUGCUUUUGUACGGAACGAAACGGUCUGGGUUAAUACCUCGGGCUAAUGACGGUACCGUAAGAAUAAGCACCGGCUAACUACGUGC
rnacentral:rRNA from 1 species